UACGAAGGGGGCUAGCGUUGUUCGGAAUUACUGGGCGUAAAGCGCGCGCAGGCGGCUAUCCAAGUCAGUGGUGAAAGCCCGGAGCUCAACUCCGGAACUGCCAUUGAAACUGUUUAGCUUGAGUACGGGAGAGGUGAGUGGAAUUCCCAGUGUAGAGGUGAAAUUCGUAGAUAUUGGGAAGAACACCGGUGGCGAAGGCGGCUCACUGGCCCGUAACUGACGCUCAUGCACGACAGCGUGGGGAUCAAACAGG
rnacentral:rRNA from 1 species